rnacentral:rRNA from 1 species
GACGAACGCUGGCGGCGUGCUUAACACAUGCAAGUCGAACGGAAGGGCCCUGCUUGCAGGGUGCUCGAGUGGCGAACGGGUGAGUAACACGUGGGUGAUCUGCCCCUUACUUUGGGAUAAGCCUGGGAAACUGGGUCUAAUACUGGAUAGGACCAUGCUGUAGGUGGUGUGUUGGAAAGAUUAGUUUCGGUAAGGGAUGAGCUCGCGGCCUAUCAGCUUGUUGGUUGGGUAAUGGCCUACCAAGGCGUCGACGGGUAGCCGGCCUGAGAGGGUGGACGGCAACAUUGGGACUGAGAUACGGCCCAGACUCCUACGGGAGGCAGCAGUGGGGAAUAUUGCACAAUGGGCGCAAGCCUGAUGCAGCGACGCCGCGUGGGGGAUGACGGCCUUCGGGUUGUAAACUCCUUUCAGCCAUGACGAAGCCCUUGUGGUGACGGUAGUGGUAGAAGAAGCACCGGCUAACUACGUG